rnacentral:ncRNA from 1 species
GGGAAGCCGGUGCGAAUCCGGCGCUGACCCGCAACCGUGAGCGAGUCCCGUACGGAGUGAACUGCCGCCCCGUACGCGGCCCGUGAGCCGGAGCACC